GCGGAGUAAACUUAAGUAACAUCCGUGGUGUGAUUUAGUCGCGAACUGGUGUCGGUCUAGCUUACUAAGUUGAAAACGCAAUUGUUGAUCACAGAUUUCGACAGAAAUUCAAAGGAUCUGAGAGAAUUGAUGUUGGCUAUGAUGGGUCAAGUAAACGUUAAGCUCUUAGUCAAGUUUUUGGAAAGAAACAACGGUAUGUUCAUCGUUAGGACUCGCGGUUGUAGCCAUGCAGGAGACGAUUCAAGACAGUAGGACAGAUUUAGACCAAGUGCAGGAUUUUAAUGAAGACUCGCAGCAGUACCCGACAUGAACAUGUAAAUUUUUCGAGCCUCAAAACCAGCCUCGCUUAUAAUCAUGCCGAGUCAUAUCCGUUAUGGAAGUUGCCAGGAAACAACAGGUUAACUUAUCACCAUGAAGUAAAUACAUGUAGGCUUAUAACUCUGCCUACAUGAUUUCGCUUCCAAUAUCAUAGAACUUUAUUUUAUAAAUUCGCCAUGCAGAAGUUGCAGACGGUAUUUAAAACUGUAUGAAAUGAAACAACAGAACGAUAUAUGUUUAAUGUUUCUCUUUUAUAAAUUGAUGAAAUUCUUGUUUGUUUACAAAAUAAACUGUAUAAAUAUC